UCUCCGUAGGUGAACCUGCGGAGGGAUCAUUACAGAGUUCAUGCCCUACCGGGUAGAUCUCCCACCCUAUGUUAUUAUAACUUUGUUGCUUUGGCGGGCCGUUAGGCUCCGGCCCGACUACCGGCCCCGGCUGGUAAGCGCCCGCCAGAGGACCCAAAACCCUGAAUAUUAGUGUCGUCUGAGUACUAUAUAAUAGUUAAAACUUUCAACAACGGAUCUCUUGGUUCUG
rnacentral:misc_RNA from 1 species